CAAUAGCGUAUAUUAAAGUUGUUGCAGUUAAAAAGCUCGUAGCUGGAUUUCUGGAUGGAGCGACCGGUCGGGCAUUAAUUUGUCUGCACUGGAGUCGGUUCCGUCCAUCCUCUUGGAAAGUGCGUCGGGCAUUAAGUUGUUUGGCGUAUGAUCCAAGUCGUUUACUGUGAAAAAAUUAGAGUGUUUAAAGCAGGCCUUCGCCUUGAAUACAUUAGCAUGGAAUAAUAAGAUAGGACUUUGGUCUAUUUUGUUAGUUUGCAGACCGAAGUAAUGAUUAAUAGGGAUAGUUGGGGGUAUUUAUAUUCCGAUGUCAGAGGUGAAAUUCUUAGAUUUUCGGAAGAUAAACUUAUGCGAAAGCAUUUACCAAGGAUGUUUUCAUUAA
rnacentral:rRNA from 1 species